rnacentral:rRNA from 1 species
AACGAACGCUGGCGGCACGCCUAACACAUGCAAGUCGAACGCCCUCAGCAAUGGGGGAGUGGCGGACGGGUGAGUAACGCGUGGGAACCUGCCUUGUGGUGCGGGACAACUCCGGGAAACCGGGGCUAAUACAGCAUGAUGCCGUGGCAACACGGCUAAAGAUUUAACGCCAUGAGAGGGGCCCGCGUCGGAUUAGGUAGUUGGUGGGGUAACGGCCUACCAAGCCAUCGAUCCGUAGCUGGUCGCAGAGGAUGGCCAGCCACACUGGGCCUGAGACACGGCCCAGACUCCUACGGGAGGCAGCAGUGGGGAAUCUUGGACAAUGGGGGCAACCCUGAUCCAGCGAUGCCGCGUGGGUGAUGAAGGCCUUCGGGUUGUAAAGCCCUUUCGGCGGGGAAGAUAAUGACGGUACCCACAGAAGAAGCCCCGGCUAACUUCGUGCCAGCAGCCGCAGUAACAC